GGUCCGAUGGUGUAGUUGGUUAUCACUUCUGUCUAACAGCGCAUUACGUAAUCACCUGAUUUCGUAAGCUGGUGCACAGGCGGUCCUCAGUUCGAACCUGGGUCGGAUCA